rnacentral:rRNA from 1 species
GACGAACGCUGGCGGCGUGCUUAACACAUGCAAGUCGAACGGAAAGGCCCUGCUUUUGUGGGGUGCUCGAGUGGCGAACGGGCGAGUAACACGUGAGUAACCUGCCCUUGACUUUGGGAUAACUUCAGGAAACUGGGGUUAAUACCGGAUAGGAGCUCCUGCUGCAUGGUGGGGGUUGGAAAGUUUCGGCGGUUGGGGAUGGACUCGCGGCUUAUCAGCUUGUUGGUGGGGUAGUGGCUUACCAAGGCUUUGACGGGUAGCCGGCCUGAGAGGGUGACCGGCCACAUUGGGACUGAGAUACGGCCCAGACUCCUACGGGAGGCAGCAGUGGGGAAUAUUGCACAAUGGGCGGAAGCCUGAUGCAGCAACGCCGCGUGCGGGAUGACGGCCUUCGGGUUGUAAACCGCUUUCGCCUGUGACGAAGCGUGAGUGACGGUAAUGGGUAAAGAAGCACCGGCUAACUACGUG